CGUCUCCGACGUAUCGAUAAUUUCUUAUGUUCUAUGCCAUAUUAUUGAUGAUACCUACAUGUUUUAUGCACACUUUAUGUCAUAUUCGUGCAUUUUCUGGAACUAACCUAUUAACAAGAUGCCGAAGUGCCAUUUGCUGUUUUCUGCUGUUUUUGGUUUCAGAAAUCCUAGUAACGAAAUAUUCUCGGAAUUGGACGAAACGAAGACCCAGGGGCCUAUUUCGCCACGAACCUUCCAGAAGACCGAAGAGCAUACGAAGUGGGGCCAUGAGGUGGCCAAACCACAAGGCGGCGCGGCCAAGGGGGGGCCCGCGCCGCCCUGUGGUGUGGGCCCCUCGUCAGCCCCCCGACUCUGCCCUUCCGCCUACUUAAAGCCUCCGUCGCGAAACCCCUGAUGCGAAAAACCACGAUACGGAAAACCUUACUGAGACGCCGCCGCCGCCGAUCCCAUCUCGGGGGAUUCUGGAGAUCUCCUCCGGCACCCUGCCGGAGAGGGGAUUCAUCUCCCGGAGGACUCUACACCGCCAUGGUCGCCUCCGGAGUGAUGAGUGAGUAGUUCACCCCUGGACUAUGGGUCCAUAGCAGUAGCUAGAUGGUUGUCUUCUCCUCAUUGUGCUUCAUUGUUGGAUCUUGUGAGCUGCCUAACAUGAUCAAGAUCAUCUAUCUGUAAUACUCUAUGUUGUGUUUGUCGGGAUCCGAUGGAUAGAGAAUACCAUGUUAUGUUAAUUAUCAAGUUAUUACAUAUGUGUUGUUUAUGAUCUUGCAUGCUCUCCGUUACUAGUAGAGGCUCUGGCCAAGUUUUUGCUUUUAACUCCAAGAGGGAGUAUUUAUGCUCGAUAGUGGGUUCAUGCCUGCAUUGACACCUGGGACAGUGACAGAAAGUUCUAAGGUUGUGCUGUGCUGUUGCCACUAGGGAUAAAACAUUGGCGCUAUGUCCGAGGAUGUAGUUGUUGAUUACAUUACGCACCAUACUUAAUGCAAUUGUCUGUUGCUUUGCAACUUAAUACUGGAAGGGGUUCGGACGAUAACCUGAAGGUGGACUUUUUAGGCAUAGAUGCAGUUGGAUGGCGGUCUAUGUACUUUGUCGUAAUGCCCAAUUAAAUCUCACUAUACUUAUCAUGCCAUGUAUGUGCAUUGUUAUGCCCUCUCUAUUUGUCAAUUGCCCGACUGUAAUUUGUUCA